GGUCCCCUCCACCUACUGGUGGGGAGGCCCAGCCAUAUAGGUGAGGGCCCUCCCGAGGGAGAGACCACGUCUCAAAAUUCCCCUUCUCUAGCCCUGGUCUUGCUAGAAGACAAAGAAGGUCCUCGAGAAAGACUGCGCAGUCACUGGGAAGGGGAGUUACAGCUCUCAGUUCCGCUCCCCCAACCCCGGUGUCGUUGUGGAAGAGAGGUGUCGGGUUACCGCCACCAGUGCUAUACUUAGCCGCGGACUUUGUUGAUCUGCGGGACUCCGGGGACAGGGAACAUCGUUGCGCCCGCGUAGACUUCAGCCCCCGCUGCCCGGAAACUUAAGUGCUUUUUCUCGCUCUGGGUCUUCGCCACCUCCAGGCCCUGCCGGGCCAAAUCUCUGUCCCCCAGCCCAUCGAAGCCAAGCCUGGACCGUCGCUGGUCCCACCCUCAACUGGAUCUCAACAAGUGUCUCUGAGGAAUAAUGUUGGCAGCUCUGCUGAUCGCCCUCAGCUGCCUCAGCCUCCACACCCUCGGCAGCGGUGUCCACCCAUCUGUCCCCUGGCAGAAUAUUUCCAUCCAGAACCUGAGCCUGGCUCCAGAUACAUUUGAUGAUGCCUAUGUGGGCUGCUCGGAGGAGAUGGAGGAGAAAGCAGUGCUUCUGUUAGAGAAGGAGAUGGCCAACCAUGCCCUGCUGCGGGAGUCCUGGGAGACAGCCCAGAAGACCUGGGAGCAAAAACGUCCAGGGCUCAUUCUGCCUCCUGGCUUCAGAAGCCAGCACGGAAUCGCCAUCAUGGUCUACACCAACUCAUCCAACACUUUGUACCAGGAGCUGAACCAGGCUGUGCGGACUGGUGGUGGCUCCUGGGAGUCCUACAUGAACCACUUCCCUUUCAAGGCCCUGCAUUUCUACCUGACCCGGGCCCUGCAGCUGCUGCGGGGCGGUGGGGGCUGCAGCAGGGAACCCGGGCAGGCGGUGUUCCGAGGCGUGGGCACCAUUCACUUUGAACCCAAGAAUGUGGGGGACUCUAUCCGCUUGGGCCAGUUUACGUCCAGCUCCCUGGAUGAGGCAGUGGCCCGCAGAUUUGGUAAUGCCACCUUCUUCUCUCUAAGGACUUGCUUUGGGGCCCCAAUCCAGGCCCUGUCUGUCUUUCCUAAAGAGCGUGAGGUGCUGAUCCCCCCACAUGAAGUCUUCGUGGUGACGAGUUUCUCUAAGGAAGGAAACAAAAGCCUGGUGACUCUCUCCAGCAGUGACCAGAUGUGCAGCCACUUUAACUGCGCCUAUCUGGGUGAGAAGAAGAGGCUGAGCUGUGAGUCUGUGCCAACAGGCGGGCAGGCAGACUCACUCUCCAAAGGGCCUUUCCUCUGCUCUCCUGGAAGACCCUGCUCUUGGCCUCUUGGGGGUUCCAGCUCUUAGGAGCUGGGCACUGUAAAUUCAAUGCCUGCCACUUAGGAGUCCUGGGAACAUGUGACCUCCAGAUGAAGAAGGGGGGCUUCGAAGAGCCUGGAGAAGCAACAAGAUGGUUUCAGACCCAGACCUAGCAGCCAUGUCUUCAACCAGGAUGUCGGGGGAUCUGAGGCCAUGGUAGGGUGGAGGGAGCCCCGCUAUAUGGUGGGGACUCCUGGGAACAAGCAAGGAUAGUGUUGUGAUGGCUACUCCAUUAAACAGUGCUGCAGUAUGGUGAC